UACGAAGGGGGCUAGCGUUGUUCGGAUUUACUGGGCGUAAAGCGCACGUAGGCGGAUCGAUCAGUCAGGGGUGAAAUCCUGGAGCUCAACUCCAGAACUGCCUUCGAUACUGGCGAUCUAGAGUCCGGAAGAGGUGAGUGGAACUCCUAGUGUAGAGGUGGAAUUCGUAGAUAUUAGGAAGAACACCAGUGGCGAAGGCGGCUCACUGGUCCGGUACUGACGCUGAGGUGCGAAAGCGUGGGGAGCAAACAGG
rnacentral:rRNA from 1 species